GUCGAACGGUCUUUUCUAUGGAAGCUUGCUUCCACUGAGAAGAUAGUGGCGGACGGGUGAGUAACACGUGGGUAACCUGCCCAUAAGAGGGGGAUAACAUCCGGAAACGGGUGCUAAUACCGCAUAGUUUUCUUGAUCGCAUGAUUGAGAAAGGAAAGACGGCCUUUGUGCUGUCGCUUAUGGAUGGACCCGCGGCGUAUUAGUUAGUUGGUGAGGUAAUGGCUCACCAAGACGAUGAUACGUAGCCGACCUGAGAGGGUGAUCGGCCACAUUGGGACUGAGACACGGCCCAAACUCCUACGGGAGGCAGCAGUAGGGAAUCUUCCGCAAUGGACGAAAGUCUGACGGAGCAACGCCGCGUGAGUGAAGAAGGUUUUCGGAUCGUAAAACUCUGUUGUCAGAGAAGAACAAGUCGGAGAGUAACUGCUCCGGCCUUGACGGUAUCUGACCAGAAAGCCACGGCUAACUACGUGC
rnacentral:rRNA from 1 species